CGCAUUCAGUUGCCAUCGGGUAAUGCCGGGCACUCUGGAAGGGACUGCCAUCGACAAGAUGGAGGAAGGUGGGGAGUGACGUCAAGUCAUCAUGGCCCUUAUGUCCAGGGCGACACACGUGCUACAAUGGCCGGCACAACGGGAAGCGAGUUCGCGAGGACGAGCGGAUCCCUCAAAGCCGGUCGCAGUUCGGAUUGAAGUCUGCAACUCGACUUCAUGAAGCUGGAAUCGCUAGUAAUCGUGGAUCAGCCAAGCCGCGGUGAAUACGUUCCCGGGCCUU
rnacentral:rRNA from 1 species